CAUCUCAAAGGAAUUUGUGAAAAUAUAAAAAAAUCAAGUAUUCUCUGCCAGCUUUGGAAGAAGGAGGGAGGACAAGUCUAGCAGAGGUACCCAUUCCAUUCCAAGUUUGCUCAGUAGCUGGUGAUUGGAAGACACUCUGCAUCAUCA
rnacentral:snoRNA from 14 species